rnacentral:rRNA from 1 species
UAGGGAAUUUUCACAAUGGACGAAAGUCUGAUGGAGCAACGCCGCGUGAACGAUGAAGGUCUUCGGAUUGUAAAGUUCUGUUGUCAGGGACGAACACGUACCGUUCGAAUAGGGCGGUACCUUGACGGUACCUGACGAGAAAGCCACGGCUAACUACGUG